AGAACGAACGCUGGCGGCAUGCCUAAUACAUGCAAGUCGAACGAGAUCUUCGGGUCUAGUGGCGCACGGGUGCGUAACGCGUGGGAAUCUACCCUUGGGUUCGGAAUAACAGUUGGAAACGACUGCUAAUACCGGAUGAUGACGAAAGUCCAAAGAUUUAUCGCCCAAGGAUGAGCCCGCGUAGGAUUAGCUAGUUGGUGAGGUAAAGGCUCACCAAGGCUACGAUCCUUAGCUGGUCUGAGAGGAUGAUCAGCCACACUGGGACUGAGACACGGCCCAGACUCCUACGGGAGGCAGCAGUAGGGAAUAUUGGACAAUGGGGGCAACCCUGAUCCAGCAAUGCCGCGUGAGUGAUGAAGGCCUUAGGGUUGUAAAGCUCUUUUACCCGAGAUGAUAAUGACAGUAUCGGAGAAUAAGCUCCGGCUAACUCCGUGCCAGUAGCCGC
rnacentral:rRNA from 1 species